AUUGAACGCUGGCGGCAGGCCUAACACAUGCAAGUCGAACGGUAACAGGAAACAGCUUGCUGUUUCGCUGACGAGUGGCGGACGGGUGAGUAAUGUCUGGGAAACUGCCUGAUGGAGGGGGAUAACUACUGGAAACGGUAGCUAAUACCGCAUAACGUCGCAAGACCAAAGAGGGGGACCCUCGGGCCUCUUGCCAUCGGAUGUGCCCAGAUGGGAUUAGCUUGUUGGUGGGGUAACGGCUCACCAAGGCGACGAUCCCUAGCUGGUCUGAGAGGAUGACCAGCCACACUGGAACUGAGACACGGUCCAGACUCCUACGGGAGGCAGCAGUGGGGAAUAUUGCACAAUGGGCGCGAGCCUGAUGCAGCCAUGCCGCGUGUAUGAAGAAGGCCUUCGGGUUGUAAAGUACUUUCAGCGGGGAGGAAGGGAGUAAAGUUAAUACCUUUGCUCAUUGACGUUACCCGCAGAAGAAGCACCGGCUAACUCCGUG
rnacentral:rRNA from 1 species